CACAAGAUGACUGAAAG
rnacentral:tRNA from 1 species